rnacentral:rRNA from 1 species
GUGGAUUAGAUACCCGGGUAGUCCUGGCCGUAAACGAUGGAUACUAGGCGUAGCGGGUAUCGACCCCUGCUGUGCCGCAGCUAACGCGAUAAGUAUCCCGCCUGAGUAGUACGGCCGCAAGGUUGAAACUCAAAGGAAUUGACGGGGGCCCGCACAAGCGGUGGAACAUGUGGUUUAAUUCGAAGCAACGCGAAGAACCUUACCAGGGCUUGACAUGCAGAGAACUUUUCGGAAACGAGAAGGUGCCCGCAAGGGAGCUCUGACACAGGUGGUGCAUGGCCGUCGACAGCU